GGAAUCUUAGACAAUGGGCGCAAGCCUGAUCUAGCCAUGCCGCGUGAGUUAUGAAGGCCUUAGGGUCGUAAAGCUCUUUCGCCUGUGAAGAUAAUGACUGUAGCAGGUAAAGAAACCCCGGCUAACUCCGUGCCAGCAGCCGCGGUAAUACGGAGGGGGUUAGCGUUGUUCGGAAUUACUGGGCGUAAAGCGCGCGUAUGCGGACAUUUAAGUCAGAGGUGAAAUCCCAGGGCUCAACCCUGGAACUGCCUUUGAUACUGGGUGUCUUGAGUUCGAGAGAGGUGAGUGGAAUUCCGAGUGUAGAGGUGAAAUUCGUAGAUAUUCGGAGGAACACCAGUGGCGAAGGCGGCUCACUGGCUCGAUACUGACGCUGAGGUGCGAAAGUGUGGGGAGCAAACAG
rnacentral:rRNA from 1 species